rnacentral:rRNA from 1 species
AACACCUAAAAUGUGGAAUAUAGCAUAUAGUCGACAAGAGAAAUCUACGAAAAACAAACAAAACUUUCAACAACGGAUCUCUUGGUUCUCGCAUCGAUGAAGAGCGCAGCGAAAUGCGAUACCUAGUGUGAAUUGCAGCCAUCGUGAAUCAUCGAGUUCUUGAACGCACAUUGCGCCCCUCGGCAUUCCGGGGGGAAUGCCUGUUUGAGCGUCGUUUCCAUCUUGCGCGUGCGCAGAGUUGGGGGAGCGGAGCGGACGACGUGUAAAGAGCGUCGGAGCUGCGACUCGCCUGAAAGGGAGCGAAGCUGGCCGAGCGAACUAGACCUUUUUUCAGGGACGCUUGGCGGCCGAGAGCGAGUGUUGCGAGACAACUAAAAGCUCGACCUCAAAUCAGGUAGGAAUACCCGCUGAACUUAA